AUUGAACGCUGGCGGCAUGCCUAACACAUGCAAGUCGAGCGAGCGGCGGACGGGUGAGUAAUGUAUGGGGACUGCCCGAUAGAGGGGGGUAACCACUGGAAACGGUGGCCAAUUACGCGUACUGCCGGCCAUACCAUAAGGUAUUAGCUAGUGGGUAAGGUAAUGGCUUACCUAGGCGACGAUCCCUAGCUGGUCUGAGAGGAUGAUCAGCCACACUGGGACUGAGACACGGCCCAGACUCCUACGGAGGCAGCAGUGGGGAAUAUUGCACAAUGGGCGCAAGCCUGAUGCAGCCAUGCCGCGUGUAUGAAGAAGGCCAUAGGGUUGUAAAGUACUUUCAGUCGGGAGGCGUUACCGACAGAAGAAGCACCGGCUAACUCCGUGCCAGCAGCCGCGGUAAUUC
rnacentral:rRNA from 1 species